UACAGAGGGGGCAAGCGUUGUUCGGAUUCAUUGGGCGUAAAGGGUGCGUAGGCGGCGCGGUAAGUCGGGCGUGAAAUCUCGGGGCUUAACUCCGAAACUGCAUUCGAUACUGCCGUGCUUGAGGACUGGAGAGGAGACUGGAAUUUACGGUGUAGCGGUGAAAUGCGUAGAUAUCGUAAGGAAGACCAGUGGCGAAGGCGGGUCUCUGGACAGUUCCUGACGCUGAGGCACGAAGGCCAGGGGAGCAAACGGG
rnacentral:rRNA from 1 species